ACGGAGGGUGCAAGCGUUAAUCGGAAUCACUGGGCGUAAAGCGCACGUAGGCGGUAGUGUAAGUCAGACGUGAAAUCCCUUGGCUUAACUGAGGAACUGCGUUUGAAACUGCACAACUUGAGUGCUGGAGAGGGUGGCGGAAUUCCCGGUGUAGGAGUGAAAUCCGUAGAUAUCGGGAGGAACACCAGUGGCGAAGGCGGCCACCUGGACAGACACUGACGCUGAGGUGCGAAAGCGUGGGUAGCAAACAG
rnacentral:rRNA from 1 species